rnacentral:rRNA from 1 species
ACUGACGGAGCAACGCCGCGUGAACGAUGAAGGCCUUCGGGUCGUAAAGUUCUGUUGUUAGGAAGAACAAGUAUCGGAGUAACUGCCGGUACCUUGACGGUACCUAACCAGAAAGCCACGGCUAACUACGUGCCAGCAGCCGCGGUAAUACGUAGGUGGCAAGCGUUGUCCGGAAUUAUUGGGCGUAAAGCGCGCGCAGGCGGUUCCUUAAGUCUGAUGUGAAAGCCCCCGGCUCAACCGGGGAGGGUCAUUGGAAACUGGGGAACUUGAGUACUGAAGAGGAAAGCGGAAUUCCACGUGUAGCGGUGAAAUGCGUAGAGAUGUGGAGGAACACCAGUGGCGAAGGCGGCUUUCUGGUCAGUAACUGACGCUGAGGCGCGAAAGACGUGGGAGCAAACAGGAUUAGAUACCCUGGUAGUCCACGCCGUAAACGAUGAGUGCUAAGUGUUAGAGGGUUUCCGCCCUUUAGUGCUGCAGCAAACGCAUUAAGCACUCCGCCUGGGGAGUACGGUCGCAAGACUG